UAACGCAGCUAACGCGUGAAGUAGACCGCCUGGGGAGUACGGUCGCAAGAUUAAAACUCAAAUGAAUUGACGGGGGCCCGCACAAGCGGUGGAUUAUGUGGAUUAAUUCGAUGCAACGCGAAAAACCUUACCUGGCCUUGACAUGUAACGAACUUUCCAGAGAUGGAUUGGUGCUCGAAAGAGAACGUUAACACAGGUGCUGCAUGGCUGUCGUCAGCUCGUGUCGUGAGAUGUUGGGUUAAGUCCCGCAACGAGCGCAACCCUUGCCAUUAAUUGCCAUCAUUUAGUUGGGCACUUUAAUGGGACUGCCGGUGACAAACCGGAGGAAGGUGGGGAUGACGUCAAGUCCUCAUGGCCCUUAUGGCCAGGGCUUCACACGUAAUACAAUGGUCGGUACAGAGGGUUGCCAAGCCGCGAGGUGGAGCCAAUCCCAGAAAGCCGAUCGUAGUCCGGAUUGUAGUCUGCAACUCGACUACAUGAAGUCGGAAUCGCUAGUAAUCGCGGAUCAGCAUGUCGCGGUGAAUACGUUCCCGGGCCUUGUACACACCGCCCGUCACACCAUGGGAGUGGGUUUUACCAGAAGUA
rnacentral:rRNA from 1 species